UACGGAGGGGGCUAGCGUUGUUCGGAAUUACUGGGCGUAAAGCGCACGUAGGCGGCUUUGUAAGUUAGAGGUGAAAGCCCGGGGCUCAACCCCGGAAUUGCCUUUAAGACUGCAUCGCUUGAACGUCGGAGAGGUGAGUGGAAUUCCGAGUGUAGAGGUGAAAUUCGUAGAUAUUCGGAAGAACACCAGUGGCGAAGGCGGCUCACUGGACGACUGUUGACGCU
rnacentral:rRNA from 1 species